AUGAACGCUGGCGGCGUGCCUAAUACAUGCAAGUCGAGCGAACAGACGAGGAGCUUGCUCCUCUGACGUUAGCGGCGGACGGGUGAGUAACACGUGGAUAACCUACCUAUAAGACUGGGAUAACUUCGGGAAACCGGAGCUAAUACCGGAUAAUAUAUUGAACCGCAUGGUUCAAUAGUGAAAGACGAUUUUGCUGUCACUUAUAGAUGGAUCCGCGCCGCAUUAGCUAGUUGGUAAGGUAACGGCUUACCAAGGCGACGAUGCGUAGCCGACCUGAGAGGGUGAUCGGCCACACUGGAACUGAGACACGGUCCAGACUCCUACGGGAGGCAGCAGUAGGGAAUCUUCCGCAAUGGGCGAAAGCCUGACGGAGCAACGCCGCGUGAGUGAUGAAGGUCUUCGGAUCGUAAAACUCUGUUAUUAGGGAAGAACAAAUGUGUAAGUAACUAUGCACGUCUUGACGGUACCUAAUCAGAAAGCCACGGCUAACUACGUG
rnacentral:rRNA from 1 species